rnacentral:lncRNA from 1 species
UAAGCCAUUAACUCUUCAUUUUUAAGUACACAGAAAGCAAUAAACAAUGUUUUUGAAUGCCUAUUAACAGUAAAGCAUAAUAACUCUUCUUUUUCAGAGUCUGAGGGUCACAUUCCCCUUCCUAUUACAGCAAGUGGAGAGUAACCACACCCAGCAGAAUUUGCUUUUGUAGUUUAGAAGCAGGGUAAUCCUAUCGCCAUGUCCUAUGGAUUCCUCUCUGAAAUCCCACAGCAACGCAGGACUGGAUUGUGUUUUGUAACCACUGCUAUGCUAGGAUGUAUGGAGGUAUAUAGCUGGAAGCAUUCUAUCUGCUGGAGACUUGAAGGCAGAAUGACUGAGGAGCUCACAUCUCAGAUAAUCUCAUAG